GAUGAAGAACGCAGCGAAAUGCGAUACGUAAUGUGAAUUGCAGAAUUCAGUGAAUCAUCGAGUCUUUGAACGCACAUUGCGCCCCCUGGUAUUCCGGGGGGCAUGCCUGUCCGAGCGUCAUUGCUGCCCUCAAGCACGGCUUGUGUGUUGGGCCUCCGUCCUCCUCCCGGGGGACGGGCCCGAAAGGCAGCGGCGGCACCGCGUCCGGUCCUCGAGCGUAUGGGGCUUCGUCACCCGCUCUUGUAGGCCCGGCCGGCGCUUGCCGACACAUCAAUCUUUUUUCCAGGUUGACCUCGGAUCAGGUAGGGAUACCCGCUGAACUUAAGCAUAUCAAUAAAUCGGAGGA
rnacentral:misc_RNA from 1 species